rnacentral:rRNA from 1 species
UGGGGAAUAUUGCACAAUGGAGGGAACUCUGAUGCAGCAACGCCGCGUGCGGGAUGACGGCCUUCGGGUUGUAAACCGCUUUCAGCCAUGACGAAGCUUUUGUGACGAUAGUGGUAGAAGAAGCACCGGCUAACUACGUGCCAGCAGCCGCGGUGAUACGUAGGGUGCGAGCGUUGUCCGGAAUUAUUGGGCGUAAAGAGCUUGUAGGCGGUUUGUCGCGUCGAUAGUGUAAACACGCAGCUUAACUGUGUGCCUGCUGUCGAUACGGGCUGACUAGAGGAGGGUAGGGGAGAAUGGAAUUCCCGGUGGAGCGGUGGAAUGCGCAGAUAUCGGGAGGAACACCAGUGGCGAAGGCGGUUCUCUGGACCUUUCCUGACGCUGAGAAGCGAAAGCGUGGGUAGCAAACAGG